UACGUAGGAUCCAAGCGUUGUCCGGAUUUACUGGUGUAAAGGGUGCGCAGGCGGACUUAUAAGUCAGUGGUGAAAUCUCACAGCUUAACUGUGAAACUGCCUUUGAUACUGUAGGUCUUGAAUUAGGGAGAGAUUCGUGGAAUUCCGAGUGUAGCAGUGAAAUGUGUAGAUAUUCGGAAGAACACCAGAGGCGAAGGCAGCGAAUUGGCCCUAUAUUGACGCUCAGGCACGAAAGCAUGGGGAUCAAACAGG
rnacentral:rRNA from 1 species